AUGAAGAGGCUGAGGUUUGGUGAGGAGGCGGAGGUGGACGGCGCCGCCAUAGCCCAUGAGGUGAUGAUGCUGCUCGCCGCGCGGAGCGCCGCGAUGGGGGGCGGCGAGCCGGUGGCGGUGGCGCGGCCGCGCGCGUUCGAGUGCAAGACGUGCAAUCGCCAGUUCCCGUCGUUCCAGGCGCUCGGCGGCCACCGCGCCAGCCACAAGCGGCCGCGGGGCGAUCCGAUCAGCGAGCAGGCGCCGGUGCCCUCGAGGAGGCACGGGUGCACGGUGUGCGGCGUGGAGUUCGCGCUCGGGCAGGCGCUGGGCGGGCACAUGAGGCGCCACCGCGCCCACGAGCAGGAGGAGGAGGGCGCGAGGGGGCCGGUGGUCGCCGAGCGGGAGCCCGGCGAGACAAGAAGGGGGCUGCUGCUGGGCUUGGACCUGAACGCUACUCCCGCUGAGCAGGCCUUGGACCUCUCUCUCUGGGCCUGA
rnacentral:rRNA from 1 species